GCUCCCAUAGCUCAGUGGAGAGAGUGCCGCGCUACGAACGCGGAGGUCCCAGGUUCAAGUCCUGGUGGGAGCAC
rnacentral:tRNA from 1 species